UUUUUUUUUAGCAAAGUUUCCAAAAGUUAUGGUUGAAUCAGCCGUAGACUUAUAAGCCAUAACCCAAUUUUAGUGAAUACGAUAUUAAAGGUUUACUUCAGUUAUGUGGUAUUCAUUAAAUUUCAGUUUUUCUCCUUGUUUGCCGUUUUUACUUAUUCCUAUUUUAAGAAUUGAAAACACUCUAUAUACCUUAAUUUGACAAUGAGGUACAUAGAACAUUCAAUUAAUUAAAAAAAAAUCAUAAACGAAGAGAAAAAAAGCAUGUAUAAAAGAGAAAAAGUAGUUUCCUUCUCUAUUAUUCUUAUGAUACCUUUGUUAAUUUUGACAGAAAAAAUAAAUGCUAAUGCUGCUAAGGAUUUCGAGCGCCGUUGUCGUGGAAUUCCACUCGAAAAUGCACCGCCGUAUAUGUGUCAUAAACCAAACCGUGAUGCUGAAUGUUUGCGUCUUUGCAAGGAGUCAGGCCCAAAAACUGGAUUUUACUUUGGUACGUGUGCUGUUAAGGACAAUAAACACUAUUGCCACUGCUACAAUAAUAUAUGCGGUCCACCACUACCACCAAUAAAAGGGCCACCACCUCGUGUGUAGAACGGAAAAUAAAUAAAUAAAUAAAUAAAUAUAUAUAUAUAUAUAUAUAUAUUUGUUUUUUCCAAUAAUUUCUCUUUAAUACUUUUUUAAUAUGAAACUGUAAAAUAAAAUAAGAUUUUCUUAAAAACGAAAUAAUAACUAUAUAUUUAUAUUAUCUCCAUCUAUUUAUAGAUCGGUUGGAAAAUACAAUUUAUACUUUGUUGUAAAACUUUAUGUGUCCCUAUAGAUCAGCGAAAAAUAAUAUUCAUAGAAAUUUCACCUCUAUGUAUUUGCAACUAUACAGAAUCUACUCAAUUAAUUUAGAGUCUCGUAUUUUAUCUACCAUUGACAAGUUAUAGUAGGACCAUCUGAUUAACUACUUAAUGUGACAUAUUUAAUUAUUUACACUAAAUUUUAAUAAUCAAUAAAUAUAUUAAUAAUAAAUCAAUUUUAGUUAGAAAUUUGAAUUUUAUUUUUUGUUAUAACAAAAUCUGUUGAGAAAAAAUCUAACAAAAUCCUACCAAACGUUUUGUUAUUCUUUUUAAAAAUAGUGCAUUAUAAUUUCGUAAUUAGUAAUGUAAUCUUAUUAAAAUAAUGAUAAUUGAAAUUUAUCACACACAACAGAAAAUAAAAAUUCUAUGCUAUUUUAUGAAUUUUAGAAUUAAAGUCUAUAUUAUAUUAAAAUAGAUGUGCUUUAUAAAUUAAAUAUGAAACAAUAUACUAAAUUGGUAUUAACAGAUUUUUUUAAGAAAGAAAAAACAGUUUCAUUUAAAUAAAUUAUCAUUCAUCGUCAAAAUGGGUUAAAAUUCGUAAACUAUGUAAUAUUUUAUACAAAACUAAAAUUAUUGACAUUUGUUAAACUUUUAUAUCCAUGACUAUAUAUUAUCGUCUAAUUUGUUUGGAAACUCGCAACAAUAUAUUAUCUAUGCAUCAUUGAGGAAAUUUCAAUUCUACCACAAGUUUGAUACCACUUUUCAAAUUUACCAUUAAUUAAUGACUAUUUUCAAAAAUACCUUACAUUUGUAAAAGGGGAAAUUUUACUUUUACACUUUGUUGGAUACCACUUUUCAACUUUACCAUAAGUCUAAGGACAUUUUCAGAAAUACCACUUUCAUUAGUGAGCAAAAGAUAAUAAUACCCUUACCUUAUCUUCUUCUCCACCAUCGGUUUCUCUCCCUCUUCCCGAGUCCCCGUCGUCUCUCUCUCACCGUCGAGUCACCGUCGUCUCUCUCUCCUUCUAGCGUCUCUCUCUCACCGUCUAGUUCCGGCGUGUCUCUCUCACCGUAGACUUCCGGCGACGAAAUCGAUUCAAAAUCUCCAAGAUGUCGACUCCUAUACGUGAUUCACAACUUGUACAAAAGUCACAGAUCACGAAGCCAUGGCAAACAUGAAGACUAAGUUUAUGGCUUUAUGGGAUGGGUUUUCUACUGAUCCGAAUGCGAGGGUGAUGGUACUUGCUGCAACAAACAGAUCAUCAGAGUUUGAUGAACCAAUAAUGAGGCGUCUUCCUCAAGCCUUUGAGAUUGGAAUGCCUGAACGUAAGGAGAGAGCUGAGAUAUUGAAAGUGACGCUGAAGGGAGAGAGGGUGGAGCCCGAUAUUGACUACGAUCACUUAGCUCGUCUAUGCGGAGGCUACACCGGAUCAGACAUCUUUGAGCUCUGCAAGAAAGCAGCUUACUUCCCUAUCAGAGAAAUCCUAGAGGAAGAGAGAAAAUGGAGACCAUGUCCUCUAAGUUUCAUAUGAAAAUGUCCAAUGCUGUUGCAGUCACCAAAUUUGCAAGUGUUGAUGUUGUGAGUUGCUAUCAUUUUGUUUGUCAGGUACCUAGGCCAUUGUCACAGUUGGAUUUGGAGAAAGUUCUUGCUACGUCGAAGAAGACGCAAGUUGCAGCAGGCGAGUAUUGUGGAUUGAGAUGGUCAAGGGAACCAGAUGAGGUGGAAGCAGCUACUUAGCUAGAUAGCAAUGAAUUGCACAUCUUUGAGAUUGCCUCUGAGGAUUUAUGAAGCUGGAACAGAACCAGUAGACAAUUCAAAAGUGAUUAUCCAAUCGGUGUCUUUGCAAUAAUGUGAAGUGUUUAUAAAAGAUUAUAAAUGUAGUUUUAUAGGAGUUUAUUAAAUUAUAAAUUAGAGAUUUGUAGAGACUUAUAAAACGUUGUUUAUUCUUUGUUACA